GGUCUAUGGUGAUAGAUGGGAUGGGCUGAGAGGGUGGUCUAUGGUGAUAGAUGGGAUGGGCUGAGAGGGUGGUCUAUGGUGGUAGGUGGGAUGGGCUGAGAGGGUGGUCUAUGGUGAUAGAUGGGAUGGGCUGAGAGGGUGGUCUAUGGUGAUAGAUGGGAUGGGCUGAGAGGGUGGUCUAUGGUGAUAGAUGGGAUGGGCUGAGAGGGUAGUCUAUGGUGAUAGAUGGGAUGGGCUGAGAGGGUGGUCUAUGGUGAUAGAUGGGAUGGGCUGAGAGGGUGGUCUAUGGUGAUAGAUGGGAUGGGCUGAGAGGGUGGUCUAUGGUGAUAGAUGGGAUGGGCUGAGAGGGUGGUCUAUGGUGAUAGAUGGGAUGGGCUGAGAGGGUGGUCUAUGGUGAUAGAUGGGAUGGGCUGAGAGGGUGGU
ensembl:lncRNA